UCAGCUCGUGUCGUGAGAUGUUGGGUUAAGUCCCGCAACGAGCGCAACCCUUGAUCUUAGUUGCCAGCAUUCAGUUGGGCACUCUAAGGUGACUGCCGGUGACAAACCGGAGGAAGGNGGGGAUGACGUCAAAUCAUCAUGCCCCUUAUGACCUGGGCUACACACGUGCUACAAUGGGCAGAACAAAGGGCAGCGAAACCGCGAGGUUAAGCCAAUCCCACAAAUCUGUUCUCAGUUCGGAUCGCAGUCUGCAACUCGACUGCGUGAAGCUGGAAUCGCUAGUAAUCGCGGAUCAGCAUGCCGCGGUGAAUACGUUCCCGGGCCUUGUACACACCGCCCGUCACACCACGAGAGUUUGUAACACCCGAAGUCGGUGAGGUAACCUUUUUGGAGCCAGCCGCCGAAGGUGGGACAGAUGAUUGGGGUGAAGUCGUAACAAGGUAGCCGUAUCGGAAGGUGCGGCUGGAUCACCUCCUU
rnacentral:rRNA from 1 species